GGAUUGCAGUCUGCAACUCGAGUGCAUGAAGCUGGAAUCGCUAGUAAUCGCGAAUCAGCAUGUCGCGGUGAAUACGUUCCCGGGUCUUGUACACACCGCCCGUCACACCAUGGGAGUCGGGAAUGCCCGAAGCCGGUGGCCCAACUGAGAGGAGGGAGCCGUCGAAGGCAGGCCGGAUGACUGGGGUGAAGUCGUAACAAGGUACC
rnacentral:rRNA from 1 species